AAAAUGUAGCUUAUAUAAAGCAUCUGGCUUACACCCAGAAGAUUUCAAUAAUUGACCAUUUUGA
rnacentral:tRNA from 1 species